GGAGCGGUGGCUGAGUGGUCUAAAGCGACGGUUUGCUAAACCGUUGUAGGGUAAAACCUACCGGAGGUUCGAAUCCUCUCCGCUCCG
rnacentral:tRNA from 1 species